GAGUUUGAUCAUGGCUCAGAUUGAACGCUGGCGGCAUGCCUUACACAUGCAAGUCGAACGGCAGCACGGACUUCGGUCUGGUGGCGAGUGGCGAACGGGUGAGUAAUACAUCGGAACGUACCCUGUUGUGGGGGAUAACUAGUCGAAAGAUUAGCUAAUACCGCAUACGACCUGAGGGUGAAAGUGGGGGACCGUAAGGCCUCACGCAGCAGGAGCGGCCGAUGUCUGAUUAGCUAGUUGGUGGGGUAAAGGCCCACCAAGGCGACGAUCAGUAGCUGGUCUGAGAGGACGAUCAGCCACACUGGGACUGAGACACGGCCCAGACUCCUACGGGAGGCAGCAGUGGGGAAUUUUGGACAAUGGGGGCAACCCUGAUCCAGCAAUGCCGCGUGUGUGAAGAAGGCCUUCGGGUUGUAAAGCACUUUUGUCCGGAAAGAAAUCGCUUCGGUUAAUACCUGGGGUGGAUGACGGUACCGGAAGAAUAAGCACCGGCUAACUACGUGCCAGCAGCCGCGGUAAUACGUAGGGUGCGAGCGUUAAUCGGAAUUACUGGGCGUAAAGCGUGCGCAGGCGGUUUUGUAAGACAGGCGUGAAAUCCCCGAGCU
rnacentral:rRNA from 1 species